UGGGGAAUAUUGCACAAUGGGCGCAAGCCUGAUGCAGCCAUGCCGCGUGUGUGAAGAAGGCCUUCGGGUUGUAAAGCACUUUCAGCGGGGAGGAAGGCGUUAAGGUUAAUAACCUUGGCGAUUGACGUUACCCGCAGAAGAAGCACCGGCUAACUCCGUGCCAGCAGCCGCGGUAAUACGGAGGGUGCAAGCGUUAAUCGGAAUUACUGGGCGUAAAGCGCACGCAGGCGGUCUGUCAAGUCGGAUGUGAAAUCCCCGGGCUCAACCUGGGAACUGCAUUCGAAACUGGCAGGCUAGAGUCUUGUAGAGGGGGGUAGAAUUCCAGGUGUAGCGGUGAAAUGCGUAGAGAUCUGGAGGAAUACCGGUGGCGAAUGCGGCCCCCUGGACAAAGACUGACGCUCAGGUGCGAAAGCGUGGGGAGCAAACAGG
rnacentral:rRNA from 1 species